rnacentral:lncRNA from 1 species
GACGCCACCAUUUGUGGGGCCACACCCCAGUAGCAUUACCCCCACCUCCCUUCUCCGAAGGUUUUAGCCGUCGGUGAUCGGCCAAUAAUCAUGAAAAUAAAAUAAAGGGAUCGGAUCCACUAUUUUUGGAUCUUUCCCAUGUUUCUCCGGUCAGCAAUCCUUGCCGCCGGCCGUCCCUUGCCCAUUGUCGUCGGCCACCCACUACGGCCGGCCGCAACCGG